GAGAAAUGGAACAUAUAAUAGGAAGAGCAAAUACAUGGGGAAAACAGGAUAUUUCAUGGCAGCAUUUUGAAUAUUUGGUUGUUGACUUUUUAAUCAUCUUGCGUUUGGGAUCUUCAAAACUGCUGGACAUCCUAGUAACCUCAGAACUCCAAACUCUGAAGAAACCAGGUGACACCACAUGGAGAGAGGGCCCCAGUUGCCCCAGCUUCUAGUCAUCCCAGCUGAGGCCCCAAACAGGUUAGAGGCCCUGUGGAGUACCCUGUCUCAGGAGUCAUCUGCUGGCUCUAAUCAGAUUUGUCAACCCAGAAAUACCAGCUGAAGAACUGCCCAAUCAACCCCAAAAAUCCAGAA
rnacentral:lncRNA from 1 species